UCGCGUUCACGAUGCACAAAAAUUCCUCAGAUCAAAUUAAGCCUUCGCAAAUGUAUCUGGUCUCCCGCGAACGUGAAGGCGCAGGGCACAGACAUAUGCGAACUCGACCUAUUGAACAGGAACGCGUUGAACACCCAGACUGACCCUCUACUUUACUCUACGUGAACGCGUGCCCCAUCCCGCGAACGCGAAGCGCCAAUGCCUCAACCUACGCGACCACGUUGAUCAUUUUCCUGACCUCCAAAAUUAACCCUACGCGAACGUGACACUUGCCACGUGAAUGCGAAGGCUUAAAAAUAGUCUACACUGCUGUUGCAUUUUCUGCAACACUCAAAGUCCAAAAAUCCUUCUGUUAAUCACCCGGAAUCACCCCGAGGCCCAAGGGACCUCGACCAAAAACACCAACAUAUACCAAAACAUCAUACAAACUUAUUCCAAUCAUCAUAACACGUCAAACAACACUAAAAUCAUAAAUUCACAUAAGAUUCAAGCCUAAGUUUCUUCAAAACUUCCGAAUUGCACAUUCGAUAAAAAACCCGACCUAAACACCUCCGAAUGACCUGAAAUUUUACAUAGAUAUCCAAAAUUACCUAACAGAGCUACUGUAACUCUCGAAAUUCCAUUUCAAGCCUUGAAUCAUAAUCUCACCUAUCAAUCGGAAAUCGCCAAAAUUUAAACUUCGCCAAUUCAAGCCUAAUUCUGCAUCGGACCUCAAAAUUCAAUUCCGAUAGCACUCCUAAGUCAUAAUCAUCCCCCGAAGCUAAUCAAAUCAUCAUGAUUCACAUCUGAGCCCUAUAACUAAAUAGUCAACUUCCAGUUGACUUUUCCAAAGUAAGCUUCCCUUUAAGAGACUAAAUGUCUCAUUUUCAUCUGAAACCAAUCCAAUUCUACCUGAUAAACUCAAAUACUGAUAUUGAAACAUAGAUAAGUAUAAUAUGAGGUAAACAAGGCGGUAACUCACGUGACAACGGGCCGGGUCAUCACAAAAUAUAGUCUCGAGUUGAUUACAAUGAGCAAGCAAUUAAAUCACAGAACACUAAUCAGAAAUGUGACAGGACUAUUGAAAUUACGAAUCUACAUUAGAGAAUCAUCAUCAAUUCCAUUUCAUAUCUCAACAUGUGAAGCUACAUGAUAGAGUCUCGAGGUAUGUACCUAGAAUGAGAAAGGAAUAGAAAAUGAGCAAAUCAACAGCAACACAGGACUUAGCAAAAGCUCCAGAAAUCCAGCAAGGGAUAACGGGGUCUCGAAAAAUAAGUAAUUUCUGCUGGGCCUUUAUCCUUUUUGUAGGUUCAUUAGGCUUCUUAUUAGUUGGAACUUCCAGUUAUCUUGGUAGAAAUUUGAUAUCUUUUUUUCCGCCUCAGCAAAUCAUUUUUUUUCCACAUCUGCUGGGCCUUUAUCCUUUUUGUAGGUUCAUUAGGCUUCUUAUUAGUUGGAACUUCCAGUUAUCUUGGUAGAAAUUUGAUAUUUUUUUCCCGCCUCAGCAAAUCAUUUUUUUUACUUAAAGUAGACUCUUAAACACCCAAGAGUGCUUCAGUGAUCAACAAUCACUAAAACUGGCUCAAAAUUGAUCCGUUUGAACCCAAAUCAACUAAAAACCAAAUCAGAGAUCAUUGUGGACUUUAAUUACUAGAAUCUGAACUAAGAGAAGUCAAUCAAUCACAACAUUUGAAAUUAAACUUGAGGAAUAGAUGGAAAAGUACUAUUUUUUGGGGUUUUCAGCUUUUGUAUAUAUAUUUUUUGAUUUUUUUAGGUUGGAAAAAGGGAUUUCAAACUUUGAGAUCUAGAAUUUAAAAUCUGAAAUUCAAAUAUUUCAAUCCGGAAACUAUGGCCUAUUUGUUGGGAAUUAGAUGACUGAAAAAAGACCCCUCACCAAGGCAAUUGUGAUGCAUUUUAUAGGCAUCCAGAAGAGAGCAACAGACUUCAAAAUUUCUUUUAGGUCCCUGUUAAUUUUCCACUUUUAGUCCCUGUAUUUUUAACUUGGGACACAAGGACCUACCACUAUCAAUCUAAACUUUUAACUACCACUCAUCCUAGAAGCUUCUAGUAAUUUCCAAAUUCAGUCCCCAAAUGAAAUCCCCAAAUUAACCCUUUAUUAACUAAUUAUACUUAGGAUUGACCCACUAACUCUAAUCAACUAAACUAAACAUGGAUGUACUAAACUAUAACUAAAAGUUAUCUGACAAAAAAAAAAAGAAUUAAUCACAGAAUUUGUUCAAUUAUUAACCAACUCGAUCAACAAUAAAAAGUAUACCACUAUAUUAGUCUAACAGAACUAAGCAUAGAGGUCAAGCUAAACUAGAAAACAUUUAAAAGACAACUACCAUAUUGAACUAAUCGGAACGAAUAGUUAGCAGGCGAUAGUUAAACUAAAAAUCAAAACCUAUCGGACCCUAAACAUUAACUAAUCAUGCAAACUAAUUAUUGUCAAAAUAAUUCUAACACUCUAAUUGAAUCCACAUGCUAGCAAGAAAAAUAGGGAUAUAAGAGUGACUGAAAAAGAAAUAAAAAGGAAGGGAACAAACUUACUAAACAAAAUCCGUCCAGUUCAUCAAUUCUCUAAUUUGGCCAUUUCCGAUGAAAUUCGAGCUCUAAUGGCACUAAAAUCUUUAUGAGGUCAGUCCAGGAACCCUAUCAUAUCUCAUUUGGUAAGGAUUGGUUAUUUAAGUUUUGGCUAGAGAAUCUAAAAAUAUAAAUUCGAGAAUUUACAGUGAGAUUCGAGAUGUGUGGUUAUGAGGGUUGGGUAGAGAACGAUAAGGAGAACCUAUGGUGUGAAUUUGGGAUAAGUGACAUCAUGGCCAAAAAACUUUAAAUGGAUAUUCGAUGAGCUCUAGUGGGAUUUGAAAGAAACAAGCAACAUAUUCGAGUAGAGGAGGCGGAGAGGAAGUUAGGGUGUUAUUUUGGGGUGGUUUGGAGGUGGUAACGUUCACCGCCGGCGGCGACUUCCGGCGGCGUUACAGAGAUACGAGGAAGACGACUUAUGUAUU
rnacentral:lncRNA from 1 species